CAGUCGCCGCGGUAACACGUAGGGUGCAAGCGUUAUCCGGAAUUAUUGGGCGUAAAGAGCUCGUAGGCGGUUUGUCGCGUCUGCUGUGAAAACUGGAGGCUCAACCUCCAGCCUGCAGUGGGUACGGGCAGACUAGAGUGCGGUAGGGGAGAUUGGAAUUCCUGGUGUAGCGGUGGAAUGCGCAGAUAUCAGGAGGAACACCGAUGGCGAAGGCAGAUCUCUGGGCCGUAACUGACGCUGAGGAGCGAAAGCAUGGGGAGCGAACAGGAUUAGAUACCCCGGUAGUCCCUGUCUCUUAUAC
rnacentral:rRNA from 1 species